GAUUAUACAAAUUACAGGCAUUCCUAAAAGCACCAACGAAAACAAAAACAAACACAGAACGAAAAGCCCAUUGAUUACUCUGUUUUAAUCCUGAUGACCAGCUAUGUCAGAACAUUUGCCAGGAGCCACUGCAGCCUCAUCCUCAAGGAAAGGAAGCACAGCCUGAUGGAAUCUCACGUUUGGUGAGUGGGCAGGAGGCAUCAGAAACCUCCACGGAUGAGGACAGAGGUUUAAAAAUAGUGAAACAAUUUCAGCAAUUGAUUACACUCUCAACUAAAUUGCGUCGCAGAGGAAUUAAGGGUUGCUUCUCUUGGUGUCACCCAGUAACAAAGUGUCCUUUUCCUCUUGCCCUUGCAGCAGGACGCUGCUGCCGUCUCCCUGCCUGUGGCACUGGUGGUCAGGCUUGAGGCCCUUUGUCUCGUCCCCUUCUCCUGACAUCAGCUGGAAGAGACGGAGAUUAAAACAAGGGUAAUUUCCCC
ensembl:lncRNA